rnacentral:lncRNA from 1 species
CGAACUAAAGAUGUCACUAUCUCUCCAGAUGCCUAACAUUAUACUCCUUUUGCUCCUUUUGGGAUUUUUCUUGAGUAGGAGACAAUCCAACUUGUAGUGUCCCUUCUUAUUAUACUUGUAGCAAGUGAUAUUUUUUCUUGAUUUUUUCUUGAUUUUUUUCUUCUUCAAUCCUUUCUUCAUGAAAUUUUUUUUGAAUUUUUUUGUAAGUAGCAUCAUGUCGUCGUCU